rnacentral:misc_RNA from 1 species
GACAGAGGGUGCGAGCGUUAAUCGGAAUGACUGGGCGUAAAGGGUACGUAGGCGGUUAUGUAAGCUUGAUGUGAAAGCCCUGGGCUUAACCUAGGAUUUGCAUCGAGGACUGUAUAGCUAGAGGUAGGUAGAGGAUAGUGGAAUUCCCGGAGUAGCGGUGAAAUGCGUAGAUAUCGGGAGGAACACCAGUGGCGAAGGCGGCUAUCUGGACCUAUCCUGACGCUGAGGUACGAAAGCGUGGGUAGCAAACGGG